rnacentral:sRNA from 2 species
ACUCCAUUCGAUAGGGGUCUGGACUUUCUCUAUAUAUAUAUAUAUAUAUAUAUUUUAUAGAGCCAGAAGUUCACCUGGUGAUGCCAGGCGCUCAGAGGACAACGCUGUGGAUUGACAGUUGAUGAUGUUCUUGACCAAAUAGGUACAGUAAAUGGCAGAGCAGCUAAAUUAGGUAAUAUGCCUUCAACGCUUGGAUAGACGAUAGAAGUUAGGUACCGCAGGAGAUCACUAUUUUACUCCUAGGGGGAUGGCUAUUUGGUACAGUACAUAUGACUGUGUGGAAUAUAAUAUCUAGAUUACAAAAAAAGAAAAAAGAAGAAAAGAAGGUAGUUUGACCCCCGACCGAGUGUAAUCUGUAUAUCAGUCCCUCCACGAACAAUUGAGUGAGCCCCGGACUUUUACCAAUUUAGAAGGAUGGUGUCCACUCAACCCAUUGCGAAAAUAUAACUAGUGUCUAUACAUAUCUACAGAGCAGAGGAAAAGAGAAGUGAAGGAACUGGGGGACUCUAUAGAGAACUAGUCUAAGUCAGGGAAAUACUAACAACCCGAGAUGGGGUCUUGCUUGACAGAAUAAAGACGAUGAGAGUGGGUUAUGUCGUAGAAGGGAAAAUGUUCUUUUUCUUGUCUGAUUGGAGGGAUAUACGCUGAGUGCAAGUAGAUAUCUAUCUAUCGCCUUCGACGAAAGGAGGAGGGAGGCGG